rnacentral:rRNA from 1 species
GACGAACGCUGGCGGCGUGCCUAAUACAUGCAAGUAGAACGCACAGGAUGCACCGUAGUUUACUACACCGUAUUCUGUGAGUUGCGAACGGGUGAGUAACGCGUAGGUAACCUGCCUGGUAGCGGGGGAUAACUAUUGGAAACGAUAGCUAAUACCGCAUAAGAACAUUUACUGCAUGGUAGAUGUUUAAAAGGUGCAAAAGCAUCACUACCAGAUGGACCUGCGUUGUAUUAGCUAGUUGGUGAGGUAACGGCUCACCAAGGCAACGAUACAUAGCCGACCUGAGAGGGUGAUCGGCCACACUGGGACUGAGACACGGCCCAGACUCCUACGGGAGGCAGCAGUAGGGAAUCUUCGGCAAUGGGGGGAACCCCUGACCGAGCAAACGCCGCGUGAGUGAAGAAAGGUUUUCGGAUCGUAA